AGUGGGUGUAAUGUACCUACUAGCCUACGACGGGUACGGGUUGUGAGAGCAAGAGCCCGGAGAUGGAUUCUGAGACAUGAAUCCAGGCCCUACGGGGCGCAGCAGGCGCGAAAACUUUACAAUGCGGGAAACCGCGAUAAGGGGACACUGAGUGCCAGCACCAUGUGCUGGCUGUCCGCAUGUAUAAAUCACAUGUGUCAGCAAGGGCCGGGCAAGACCGGUGCCAGCCGCCGCGGCAACACCGGCGGCCCGAGUGGUGGCCAUUAUUAUUGGGUCUAAAGGGUCCGUAGCCGGUUUGAUCAGUCUUCCGGGAAAUCUGACAGCUCAACUGUUAGGCUUCUGGGGGAUACUGUCAGACUUGGAACCGGGAGAGGUAAGAGGUACUACAGGGGUAGGAGUGAAAUCUUGUAAUCCUUGUGGGACCACCAGUGGCGAAGGCGUCUUACCAGAACGGGUUCGACGGUGAGGGACGAAAGCUGGGGGCACGAACCGGAUUAGAU
rnacentral:rRNA from 1 species